rnacentral:rRNA from 1 species
GACGAACGCUGGCGGCGCGCUUAACACAUGCAAGUCGAGCGAGAACCAGGACUUCGGUCCUGGGGACAGCGGCGAACGGGUGAGUAACACGUGGAUAACCUGCCCUCGGCACCGGGAUAGCCCGGGGAAACCCGGAUUAAUACCGGAUGGCCCUUUCGGCUCACGAGCCGGUCGGAAAAGGUAGCUUCGGCCUCCGGCCGAGGAUGGGUCCGCGGCGGAUUAGCUUGUUGGUGGGGUAACGGCCUACCAAGGCUCCGAUCCGUAGCUGGUCUGAGAGGACGAUCAGCCACACGGGGACUGGGACACGGCCCAGACUCCUACGGGAGGCAGCAGUGGGGAAUCUUGCGCAAUGGGCGAAAGCCUGACGCAGCGACGCCGCGUGAGGGAGGAAGGCCUUCGGGUUGUAAACCUCUUUCAGGAGGGAUGAAGCUACUCGGGUGAAUAGCCCAGAGGGUGACGGUACCUCCAGAAGAAGCCCCGGCUAACUACGUGCCAGCAGCCGCCGUAAAAC